UACGAAGGAGGCUAGCGUUGCUCGGAAUUACUGGGCGUAAAGGGCGCGUAGGCGGAUACUUAAGUCGGGGGUGAAAGCCCGGGGCUCAACCUCGGAAUUGCCUUCGAUACUGGGUAUCUUGAGUUCGGGAGAGGUGAGUGGAAUGCCGAGUGUAGAGGUGAAAUUCGUAGAUAUUCGGCGGAACACCAGUGGCGAAGGCGACUCACUGGCCCGAUACUGACGCUGAUGCGCGAAAGCGUGGGGAGCAAACAGG
rnacentral:rRNA from 1 species